rnacentral:rRNA from 1 species
AACCGUUUUGUACGAUCACUUUGGACAGUUCAUACAAAGUUUAAGGAAGUUUUGUUAUGUUUGCGCAAGUUAGCGAAAGAUAACAUCAAACCUAGAGAUCCUACUUUUAGGCAUGAGCAUGAAAAGAUUAAGGAAGAGCGUUUCUGGCCUCAUUUCAAAGGCACUAUUGGUGCCAUAGAUGGAUCACAUGUACCAGUUUCAGUGCCUGUAGAUGAUGCGGUUAACCAUAGAUGUCGACAUGGUUUCACAUCUCAGAAUGUGCUUGCAGUAUGUGACUUUGACAUGAGGUUUACGUUUGUGGUUGCGGGUUGGCCGGGCUGUGCACAUGAUACAAGGGUCUUGAAUCAUGCAUUAGCACACUUCCCUUCAUUUCCUAUACCACCCAAAGGGAAAUACUAUCUUGUCGACUCUGGGUAUCCAAACCGAACGGGAUACCUUGCUCCUUUUAAGGGGAGUACAUACCAUCUGCCGGAAUUUCGUCUUCGCCGUCAUCGUCCACCUGAAGGGAAAUACGAGUUGUGUAACUUUUCACAUUCAUCCCUUCGAAAUGUUGUUGAGCGUGCUUUCGGGGUACUCAAGCAGAAAUGGCGCAUCUUGAAAGGGGUCCCAAGUUUCUCACCUCGUACACAUAAGCAUAUCAUCAUUGCUUGC